ensembl:lncRNA
AUUCAUAUUUCUAGAGCAGUUUUUUUAGCAGCUAAGCAAAUAUUGAAACUCUCUCAUUAUAUAUACAUAUAUAUAUAUAUAUAUAUGUGUGUGUGUGUAUAUAGAAACAUCCAGAAAUAAAUAAUGAGGAAUUCUCCAAGUGUUUUUGCAAUGAACAUGGGAAAGAACAUUUUAAGUCUACUAAAACAACUUUGAAAGUCUUCCACUAAAACCCUAUAAAACCCAAUGAUAGUCAUAAAUUAGCACUAGAUUAAUUCAAAGGAGAACUUACCCCCCGCCCCACGUACCUUCUAAUCCAUAUCUCCAAGAGGUCAUUUUAAUUAUCACACUGUCACUGCUAUUCAUUACUCUGCUUUUAGAGACAGAGAGCCAGCACUGUGCCUUUUGGAUGCCUUGGAAUUCAUCAUGUGAAGGCAUUUUAUUCUCUCCAAAAAUGUACACAGUUUAACCCUCUCACCUUGAAAUACUGGCGAUAGCAGGUUUGCUUGAUGUUUUCAAUCAUUUUCCUUACAGUGGGAUACUGCCUUCUUGCUUUCAAGCAAGUUCCUCGUCAGAGAGCAACUAAGGAAAGCCCAGCUAAUGGGUGGCUAAUGCACAAAUACAUUCAGCUCAAGUUUUGGCAGGUCUUGAGUAGCUUGUCCUUCUUCAGAGGCAUGCAGAACCAAGCUUUUGUCCUUACUCAUACCUGCUCACUCCUUCUAGCUUCAGUAAUACAAACUGGAUGGAAACUAUGUGCCAGCAUUCCUGUCCUGGGAAAGAGGAAAGGGACAACCAACACAUUUCUUUUACUAGAGAACAGUGUCUGGGGUUAGUACUUCUUCAGGGCUGCCCCACACCAAGAGCAGCUCAUUCAGUCAUGUUUCACUCAUCUUUUUUUGCCCUCAGUCUCAUUCAUCCUUUCCCUCUCUUUCCUGCUGGGUCUUGGCACCUUCUCUCCCUCAAGCCACCAUUCCAGCCCAGCUCCUGGCAGAAGGCUGAAGAGAAGCUGCGUCCCAAGGCUUCUGUUGGGUUAAGAAGAAGCACUUCUAAGUGGAUUCUCCCUUUCCAUCCCCUAGGAGAUGUUCAGACUCCAUCCUCUUUUUGUCUCCAGAUUGAGAAUGAAGGUCAGAUGUUUCACAGUGUCACACAUUGCAACAGACAAGCCUGCCUAGUGACAGUGGCUUUGGGCAGAGAUUUUGCAUGCUUUCCACGCAAUGGGGAGGUGCUGAGGUUUUACUUUGGGUUUCUUACACUACACUGUUUGUUCACCCCCUUCAGCACUACUUCUCACUCACACUGCGUCAGUCAUACAUCUGUUGGCAAGUCUGGUCUUUCUAGACCCCAAGCAGUUUUUGAUGGAGGACCACUGUCCCUGCCUGUUGGACAGGUGUUGCAGCAAGUUUCAUGCCUGCAGCCUGACAGUCCCGUUUCUCAUAUGGCCCCUCUCCUCAAAUGAUCUGAUAGAAGAGCAAAAAUCCCAGCCAUGCAGUGGAUGAUAAACUGCACACUGAGGAGCACCUGCCUGGCUCCCAGAAGCUAUUUAUCAGGCUCUCCUAAUGCAAGCUAACAGGACUAGCACAUGCAGUAGGCAUAAGGGCUUCUGAGCCUGACACUAAAAGGGGAGACAUCACAUGGUGUAGUAGAGGAGCCAGGACUCCCCCAUUAGCUCAUUGUAUGGAUUACCCCUUUAAAGAGAGAGAAGGGGACUGGUGGAGGAAGGAGAUGCUUUCUCAUUUUAACAAAUAGCUUUUCAGCCACCACAAAUGAUUUCUGCAAAUUUAUCAGUUCACUCUUUUUCCCCCCCAGACAGGAAAAAAAA